rnacentral:tRNA from 1 species
UCCCUGGUGGCUCAGACAGUAAAGCAUCUGCCUAAAAUGCAGGAGACCCAGGUUCAAUCCCUGGGUUGGGAA